CCUACGGGAGGCUGCAGUGAGGAAUAUUGGUCAAUGGACGCAAGUCUGAACCAGCCAUGCCGCGUGAAGGAAGACGGCUCUAUGAUUUGUAAACUUCUUUUGUAGGAGAGUAAAGGCAUCUACGUGUAUCUAUUUGCAUGUACCGUACGAAUAAGGAUCGGCUAACUCCGUGCCAGCAGCCGCGGUAAUACGGAGGAUUCGAGCGUUAUCCGGAUUUAUUGGGUUUAAAGGGUGCGUAGGCGGUUUGUUAAGUUAGCGGUGAAAGUCCGUGGCUCAACCAGGGAAUUGCCGUGGAUACUGGAAGACUAGAGUGUAGUUGCGGUAGGCGGAAUGCAUGGUGUAGCGGUGAAAUGCUUAGAGAUCAUGCAGAACACCGAUUGCGAAGGCAGCUUACUAAGCUAUAACUGACGCUGAGGCACGAAAGCGUGGGGAGCAAACAGGAUUAGAUACCCCUGUAGUC
rnacentral:rRNA from 1 species